rnacentral:sRNA from 1 species
UUUGGUUCGGAAAUACUGUGUCAGGGCAACAGCACUUUUCGUUUAAGCGCGUAAUAGCUCGGACUAUACUCAUAAAAUGCGCGUGACAGAAGAUCUGGCAGGUCAGCUGUUUUAGUUUACCAGAAUCGUUGGGAAAAUGAAACAUAUCGAUGAUAGAUCGUUUUUGCUGACAACGUAGAACGGAAAAUUAAGCGAUAACCGGAGCGUGCCUGAAAAUGACCGAAAACCCCCAGCUAAAGACGGAAAAAUUACAUUUCAGAAUGUGGAUUUAUAGUCACUGUUUUGUAGGAGGUCAAAAUAAUAUAACCGUAUAGAAGGUACGUUCUACUCUGUAGUUUGAAACACACAAAAUGCGAAUUUCAAAAAUUACUAACAGCUGGUUCAAUAAAGAUGUACGUUAUUGGGUCGAAUA